rnacentral:lncRNA from 1 species
UCCUACGGCUCCCAUGGGCUCUCAGAAGGCGUGAAAAAGCUGAACGAUGUAAUUCCAUCCCCAGGCUGAAACACAUUAGCGCGUUUGGCAAGUGCUCUAUCAGAGGGCCAUUAGACUGAGGCUCGUGCAUGAGGGGAUAGCAUGCUUUUACUUUCACUCUCUUUGUAAUAAAAAACGAUUUCCCGGUCGGAAUAUUAUCGCUUUUUUACGAGAAAAAUUGCAUAAAAAUUGAUUUUAAACAGCGGUUGACAUGCUUCGAAGUACGGUAAUGGAAUAUUUAGAAUUUUUUUGUCACGAAAUGCGCCAUGCUCGUCACCCUUAUUUACCCUUUCGGAUAGUGUCUUGAACGCACGAACAAAAUGCCGCUAUUUGGAUAUAACAAUGGAUUAUUUGGGACCAAACCAACAUUUGUUAUUGAAGUAGAAGUCCUGGGAGUGCAUUCUGACGAAGAACAGCAAAGGGGGAGAGUGUCUCAUCAAGGAAUUUAUGACCUGAGAUAACAGAACCUAGGUGUCGGAGAGAGAGGGAGAAGCCACUAUCUAUACCCAAAAAGGGCCACGUCAUGACACCACCUUCCACCGUAGAUGUGGAAGGCUGACAUAGGUGGAUGCGGUGAAUUGAGACGCAGCCCAUGAUAUCUCUACCUUAAACUGAUGGAUUUUGAUAGGGAUAUUUUUAUUAUGUUACUUAGAUUGACGCACGGGUGUGUCAGUAGACUCUUCAGGUUUAAAAUAGCAUGCAAAUCUUGCAGACAAAACCAGAAAUUAUGUCACAUUAUGCAAAACAAAGGGUUUCUGGCAGGAAUAAUGCUGUUGAAAACUCAUCUCAAUAUGUUAUGUAUAGGCACAUCUGUAUUUCAAAAUGUGAGAAAAAAAUGACGGCAGUAUCUUGAAUAUACAUUGAGUGUACAAAACAUUAGGAACACCUUCCUAAUAUUUAGUUGCACCCCCUUUUGUCCUCAGAACAGCCUCAAUUCGUUGGGGCAUGGACUCUACAAGGAUAAUGACCCAUGUUGACUCUGAUGCUUCCCACAAUUGUGUCAAGUUGGCUGGAUGUCCUUUGGGUGGUGGACUAUUCUAGAUACUCACGGGAAACUGUUGAGCGUGAAAAACCCAACAGCGUUACAGUACUUGACAUAUUCAAACCGGUGCACCUGGCACCUACUACCAUACCCUGUUCAAAGGCACAUAGAUAUUUUGUCUUUCCCAUUCACGCUCUGAGUGGCACACAUACACAAUCCAUCUGUCAAUUGUCUCAAAGCUUAAAAAUCCUUAUUUAACCUGUCUCCUUCCCUUCCUUUACAGUGAUUGAAGUGGAUUAUCAAUAAGGGAUCCUAGCAUUCACCUG